AUUAAAAAUAAUUUUUUCUAACCUAAAAAAAAUCAUAAUCUAUAUUUCCUAUUCAAACUCAUUUCAUGGCUGUUUUCAUGGAAAACAAGCACAUUUCUAAGUGACCCCAAACUUUUGAACAACCCAUUUUGCCAUAUGAAUCCCUUUCCCCUCUCCCCACUUCACAAUUUCAUUGAUGAUUUCUUUAAGCACAGGGGCCAGAUCCUGUGAAAAUGGCUGUUGAUCACUGAAAAUGAGGAAAUAUGCAGACACUCAAAUACAACGUGUCAAAAAGCACAGGGCCCACGAGCUCCAGUUGUUUGGCCGUCAGUCGAACCCCUAUCUCCAUGAUCUUCUCCUGUCCACACACACGGAAUUCGGCCAUCGACCUCACGCAGCUGUUUUAUGGUGACAUCCUGAAGCUGUCCAUUCUCUGUCUGAGGCUCCAUGUCCUUCCUCCCCAGCUUAUUCUGUAGGGCCUGACACACACACACACACACAAACAUACACACACAUACAUGCAUACACACACAAACACACACACACACACAGACAGAUAAAGACACACAUAUACACACACACACAGCCCAAACAUUAUUCCCAUUCAAUAUACAAUUUUCCCUAACCUUAACCCUAGACCCCUAACAUUAAACCUAACCCCUAACCUUAACCCUAGACCCCUAACCUUAACCCUAGACCCCUAACAUUAAACCUAACCCCUAACCUUAACCCUAGACCCCUAACCUUAACCCUAGACCCCUAACAUUAAACCUAACCCCUAACCUUAACCCUAGACCCCUAACCUUAACCCUAGACCCCUAACAUUAACCCUAACCCUUACCCUAAUCAUUUCCCCAAAUGAAACACUUACACCCAACCUAAACCCCCAGACAAAGUAUUAUUUUUCUCAUGGGUACCGGCUGAAAACUUCCCAGAGGUUGAAUGUUACUAUAAUUUAAAUGUACAGUAAAAGAUGGACACGUGCAUUCUGAACAAAUUGUAUUGAUGACAAAUUUGCAGUAGAUUAUAAUACCAAUGGGUGGGAAGACAUUUAUUUUUCCCCCAAAUAUAAGUCCCUCACGUCACUCUCUGUGCAUCUUUUCCUGCAACUCACCUUCAUCUCCCUCAUCUCCUUGGGGCUAAAGAAAGAGAAGUGUCCCUCCACCUGUUUAGCAAACAUGGCCACCAGACACACCAGCAGUACACAGCACAUCACAGCUCCACGCAUGGUCAUUCUACUUGGUCCUGCCUUUGACACACGGACAUGCACGCACAAACACACACACACACACACGGAAGUGAGUA
rnacentral:lncRNA from 1 species